UGGCCUCCCAGAGUGCUGGGAUUACAGGCGUGAGCCACUGCGCCUAGCUGCCUUCCCCACUUUUACGGAACAUUUGAAAAUGCUUUGAACCCAGACUUGCUUUAGUUGUAGGCAAACAGUUGCUGACAGGACGGGAACUGAGCAUGCGGUAAGAAUGUAUUGCAAUGCUUUCAUUAUGUUAAUUAUAUCUGAGAUACUAGGAGGCUGGUAUAUACACACCAUGGUAAAUAUUCCUACUCAUUUAAUUUUACUGGGCACCAGAUUCAUUUACAAUUAGGACACAGGUCAAAAAGUAAAAAUGAUAAAGUUAUUCUCAGUCAGAGAACUAAAGGGAGGAAGCUGGCAGACAUCUUUUGUUUUACAUGCCUUCAUAACCUAAAAUUUAUUAUCUCCCUAUUUAGUCUUUUAUCAUUAGGAGUUUAAUUUUUAUAAAGUAUAACUAUUCAUCUAUGUCCUUUUAGACAGUAUAAAGUACCCUCCAUCUAGUUUAAUAAACUAUACAGAAUCUGAGAAUAUAAAGUUAAAAAGAUUUUAAUCCUUAAACCCUAUAGCCUUACAUGUGUGGGAUCUCAAACUAGGAGAUUUGACUCCCUCCACCAAGGUCAAAGUGAAUUAGAGACUGCAUGAAAAACCCAGCAUUUUUGUCUCUCAGGACUCAUUCCGUAAGAUCAGGCCACUCUUCCCUGUCUCAGUGAAGAUUUAAAUGUUUAGAGACAUAUGACCCAGUUCUCAGUCUUCAAGAUUAAAAAAAAAUGUACCAUUUGACAUUUAGCAAAGACAAAAAAAAAAAAAGAAAGAAAGAAAAGGAAGAAAACCAUAUGAAACCAACAACUAUUAUGUUUCAACAAAAUAUCAAAACAUAUAUAAUUGCUUUUUUCAAAAAUCUGAUGCAUCCUAAGCCAAGAUUUAGGUGCGGAGAUUUAAGAAUUGUGCUUCCUAUGAAAAAAGGGUGUGCUUGCUCUGUCGAGAGCACCAAACUCUCUCAUCACACCACUUGGUUUAUGGUCUUAAUCACCAGACAGAUGAAAGCAACCUACAAGGUUGGGAACCCACAGCCCAAGCGCUAGGAAGAAUCUGUUCUGUGUGAACAGCCACAGUUCAACUGUGGAGAUACAUGGCACAACAAGUACACAAAAUAAACAGUAACGUCUUUUCUUUUCUUUUCUUUUUGAAAUUCCUAAUGGAAAAUUCCUGAUACAGAUUUCAUUAGGAGGAAAGGCGAGUCCAUAGCUGUAAAUGGGGCAAAGUCCGUUUUUUCCACCUUACUAGCAAGUGCAUAAGCACAAGAAUCUGCGUUUUCAAAAAAUCAUAUCAAUAAUUUCCCCCGUCUCUCCUCCCAAAACUUAAAAAAGACUGUCAGACUAUCAAAGUGCUGUCAGUGCCAGUAAGACACAUCAUUAAGGUGAGUAAUUUUCCUGUUUACUUCAAACACUUUUUUUCCCAAACUCCAACCUGGGCAGGUCUGAUCAGGUUAGGCUUUGGAACGAGUAAAAGCAUCCCCAAUUUCUACAUAAGCGCUGCAGGCCAUGGGGCAAAGACAAGUCUCAACUAGGCACUCCACGGUAGUCAAGCUUCCCGGCGCCUCUGGUCUUGUCUCCCUCAUACCUAACAAGUAUCGUCAUGUCUCUCAACCUUCAAAAUCGGUUUUAUCUGCAACACAAAUGCAGAUAUGCUCACAUACAUCCCACUUGUUUUACUUAAAAUUCAUAUCUACAUACAUUCUCAACACAUUUGCUUUAUAACAAUUCUUUCCUCUGCACUUUUCAAAAGGAAAUAUUUUCCAUUCUGAAUUCAGGCAUUCUUCAUGUAAAGGCAAAUGGCAGAAUGCAAAAUAAUAAUCAUUUUUAAUUGUAAAAUGCUGCUCUAAUUUUUAAAUUCAGUGGAGUAGAGAUCUGGCUUUUCUAUUUUUUUUGUGGAAAUAGAUACCAUUGUCUUAAUUAAAUGUUUUCAAGAUCUACCUUUAUGCAAAUAUAUCUACUAUGUAAUUUGUGUUUUCUUUAAAAAAAAAAAAAAGAGAGAGAGAAAAUUGCUACCCUUGACAUAAGAUUACUCUUUCAGUGUGGUCUACUUCUAAGAAGACAGGAAGCUGGAAUUAAGAGUUUAGUAUUAGAUCUAUUUUGUCAACGUGGACAGAUUGGUAGGUCUCAAGUUCACUUCUCAAUCUAUAAAAAAUAAUGCAUGAAAAUACAUAUAAGUCCCCAGGUCACAGGGGAAUUGUGAGCUCUACUGUUUGCAAAGCGUUUUGCAUUCUUUGGGUAAGAGGUGUUGCGCUUGUUAUGAAGACACUGUACUUACAUAAUUCUAAACAUGCUCAUAAAUUGGAAAGGCAGUUUUCAAGCCAAAGGCAUAAUGUUCUUUUAUACUACAAAUGAACUUGUUUAUAUACUGGUCUGAGGUACUUAUUUGCUCCUACUCAUUCACCCUCUUUUCCUUUUGAGGCCGUCACUGUCAUCACUGUUUCUUCCCCUAACUAUGCCGAAUUUGUCACAGGUAGAAGAGGAAAAUGGAA